ensembl:lncRNA
GUCAGGUUGUAACAAGCUCUGUGCUUUUUGUUAGAAAGACUGAUUGUUGACUCAUAAUUACUCAGUGUUUGUGCUAUAUCCGCUCAUUUUGAGUGAGAAGUUAAAUUGUUCCAAAAUGCUGUGUUGACCCAAAAUAUGACCUCUUCUCACUUCUUUUAAUAACUAAACAUAAAAGGGAAAAGUCAUGUAGCAAGACUCUAUGAACUCUCGUUUGCACUGUGUCACAUUUAGAUCAGUUGCUCAUCUCAUACAUUCAUAUUUUCUCUUCAAUCUAAAGAGAUUAUUCAACGUACCUCCUUACUGAGGCUUUCUGUGACUGAUGUCAAAUGAAUAAUCCCAAAAGACAAUGUUGCGGUCACAAUAGGCUGACUACACUAAAGCCUGAACCUCUUGGACAUUUUCAUUUAAUUAGUGAAAGCAGGGGAAGCAGACAGUUAAAGGCUGCUGCAGCAUCUUUUGGGAUGCCUGUCAAUCAAACUUGGAGCCUUCAUAAAAUCUGAAUGUUUUUGUUUUUUUUUUAAUUUAAGUAAUGUCCCCUCACCCUUCCAACUGCUGGUUAUGAAGGAGUGAAACAGCAACGCCUUUCUUCUAUUAUUAACACGGUGUCGGUGUUUUCCCCCGUAGGUUUUUCCCUGUUUCCUUGAACUUUGAACGUGACUUUUGCCUUGGGUGGUGUUAUUUGUAAAAGAGCAGUUCCACAUUCGAUGUUUAGAACUUGCAUAACAUCUUGGGAAACUACAAUCUCGGAAGUGAAUAAUGAGAAAAUCAUUUUCCUUUUAAUUUAUGCUUUAAGCGCAAAAGAGCAGCGAUCUACAAGUCUGUUCAGUCUCACCAAAGAAAGGUGUCGCAAACUGAACGAGAGGUGAAAGCAAUACUUUAAGCUGCAAGCAAAGUGCUCUCAGGCUGCACUGAAACUCAUUUAAUGAACACUACCUGCACCUUCACACAAGUGGCAACUUGCACAGUUUCUACAGUAGGAACCAAAGAAAAACGUGACUUAAUGCUCUGCACACACAGACACACACAGACUGUCCUGCAGGUCAUACAGGGUACACACAGGGUACACACAAUAGUUCUUUUAUUACUCAAGCAUGUUACCACAUUUGUUUGACUGAUAUCAGUUGAAACUUGUUGUUCUUUGUGUGGCUCUUUGAAGGCAAAGACACCAUUUAACAAUGAAGCCUUCUAUCAGGUUCACAUGUAGCAAGUAAACCAUACGUUUAUCAAUGCAGAGACAUCAUCAGCA